AAAUUGAAGAGUUUGAUCAUGGCUCAGAUUGAACGCUGGCGGCAGGCCUAACACAUGCAAGUCGAGCGGUAGCACAGAGAGCUUGCUCUCGGGUGACGAGCGGCGGACGGGUGAGUAAUGUCUGGGAAACUGCCUGAUGGAGGGGGAUAACUACUGGAAACGGUAGCUAAUACCGCAUAACGUCGCAAGACCAAAGUGGGGGACCUUCGGGCCUCAUGCCAUCAGAUGUGCCCAGAUGGGAUUAGCUAGUAGGUGGGGUAACGGCUCACCUAGGCGACGAUCCCUAGCUGGUCUGAGAGGAUGACCAGCCACACUGGAACUGAGACACGGUCCAGACUCCUACGGGAGGCAGCAGUGGGGAAUAUUGCACAAUGGGCGCAAGCCUGAUGCAGCCAUGCCGCGUGUGUGAAGAAGGCCUUCGGGUUGUAAAGCACUUUCAGCGGGGAGGAAGGCGUUAAGGU
rnacentral:rRNA from 1 species